rnacentral:misc_RNA from 1 species
GAUGAAGAACGUAGCGAAAUGCGAUAAGUAAUGUGAAUUGCAGAAUUCAGUGAAUCAUCGAAUCUUUGAACGCACCUUGCGCCCUUUGGCCAUUCCGAAGGGCAUGCCUGUUUGAGUAUCAUGAACACCUCAACUCUUUAUGGUUUUCCAUGAUGAGCUUGGACUCUGGGGGUUUUGCUGGCUCACAGUCGGCUCCUCUAAAAUGAAUCAGCUUACCAGUGUUUGGUGGGUAUCAUGGGUGUGAUAACUAUCUACGCUUGUGGUUUUUCCACCAGGUUACCUUCAGCAGUGGAGGUUCGCUGGAGCUCAUAGAUGUCUCUCCUCAGUGAGGACAGCCCUUUGAAUGUUUGAUCUCAAAUCAGGUAGGACUACCCGCUGAACUUAAGCAUAUCAAUAAGCGGAGGA